UUGAACGCUGGCGGCAGGCCUAACACAUGCAAGUCGAGCGGUAGCACAGAGAGCUUGCUCUCGGGUGACGAGCGGCGGACGGGUGAGUAAUGUCUGGGAAACUGCCUGAUGGAGGGGGAUAACUACUGGAAACGGUAGCUAAUACCGCAUAAUGUCGCAAGACCAAAGUGGGGGACCUUCGGGCCUCAUGCCAUCAGAUGUGCCCAGAUGGGAUUAGCUAGUAGGUGGGGUAACGGCUCACCUAGGCGACGAUCCCUAGCUGGUCUGAGAGGAUGACCAGCCACACUGGAACUGAGACACGGUCCAGACUCCUACGGGAGGCAGCAGUGGGGAAUAUUGCACAAUGGGCGCAAGCCUGAUGCAGCCAUGCCGCGUGUGUGAAGAAGGCCUUCGGGUUGUAAAGCACUUUCAGCGGGGAGGAAGGCGAUAAGGUUAAUAACCUUGUCGAUUGACGUUACCCGCAGAAGAAGCACCGGCUAACUCCGUGCCAGCAGCCGCGGUAAUACGGAGGGUGCAAGCGUUAAUCGGAAUUACUGGGCGUAAAGCGCACGCAGGCGGUCUGUCAAGUCGGAUGUGAAAUCCCCGGGCUCAACCUGGGAACUGCAUUCGAAACUGGCAGGCUAGAGUCUUGUAGAGGGGGGUAGAAUUCCAGGUGUAGCGGUGAAAUGCGUAGAGAUCUGGAGGAAUACCGGUGGCGAAGGCGGCCCCCUGGACAAAGACUGACGCUCAGGUGCGAAAGCGUGGGGAGCAAACAGGAUUAGAUACCCUGGUAGUCCACGCCGUAAACGAUGUCGAUUUGGAGGUUGUGCCCUUGAGGCGUGGCUUCCGGAGCUAACGCGUUAAAUCGACCGCCUGGGGAGUACGGCCGCAAGGUUAAAACUCAAAUGAAUUGACGGGGGCCCGCACAA
rnacentral:rRNA from 1 species